CCUACGGGAGGCAGCAGUGAGGAAUAUUGGGCAAUGCCCGCAAGGGUGACCCAGCAACGCCGCGUGGAGGAUGAAGGCCGUAAGGUUGUAAACUCCUGUUAGAGGAGAAGAAUAGUGCCGAUUGGAUCGGUAUUUGACUGUACCCUCUGAGAAAGCCCCGGCUAACUACGUGCCAGCAGCCGCGGUAAU
rnacentral:rRNA from 1 species